CAUCCUGGGUGCUACUGCCGGCUGCUGACCUGUCUCACCUCUCUUUUUUCCUAUCUCCACUGUGCAAUGACCUCGUUUCUUUUCACAGUUUGAUCUUUCUGGGUAUCUUGGCCACUCAGAUCCCCCAGCCAAAGAAUGACCAAUACCAACAGCUUGGAGGCACCUGGCCAGCAGCAAUAUCAGGAGGAAGAAUGAAUGACACUUUAUUUUAUUGAAACCAGAAAGGAUGCUGUUGGCCACUUUGCUCAACGUCCUCAUCAGUACUGCCCAUGGGGCGCUCUGCUUGCUUUCUGGAUUGGGUCAAUAAUAUGCCUCUGACCCAGGAUUUUUCCAGGCUGUUGAAAUGUCAGAUGGCAAAAACAAGCAAGACUUCCAGAUGGAGCAACUGGAAGAAAAACACAACAAAGAUGGUAGUGGGAAAGCUUCAGACUCACGCUUGAUUGGGAGUCCCAUGCUUGGGGUUGGGAGUCCCCACCUGUGGCUUCCAAACCCACUCUCUGUGCAAGCCCUUGUGCAAAGCAGCAUCCCAUGAGGAAGUUCUUCAUUAGUACGGAUUGAAGACUGAAAUAAAUAAAAGAAAUUUGUGGUGCUCACAACCUCCUACCUGCUGCUCUGCAAGUGGGACCCCUCACCAUGAGAUGCUUUUGCAGUGCAGCAAACCUCACUGACCACCACUGACUGUGUUGGAUACUUCACUGUUCCAGAGGAAUCUGGAGAAGAGGGCUGUGGAAGUGGAGCAGAGCAGCCAUUUCCAGAGAACUGUCCUGGGAGGACCAACUCUGGCAUUUUGGCUGCUGCAAGUGAGCCAGAAAAUCACCAGGAAGUGAUAUCCAUCCCCUGGAGACACCAUGGCCCAUGCUGGUCAUGGUACCAGUCCUCUUCUGGGAGCCUUGGGUUUUUCUUCAGAGCCCCUCAGCUCUCUGUAGUGUGGGGUAUUGGGACCAGGAAGGUCCCAGUCUGGAGGUGGGAAGUCCUGCUGCCUCCCAGGGCUGCCAGCUUGUUCCAGUUCUGAGUCAUUCCCUCUCCUGUUUGUUUUUGGUGUUUAUUUAUUUACCGCCGAGGCGUCAGCCCAGAGCAGGCUGACUGUGCUGAACUCCUUCGGUGGCCUGGUGGCUGCUGCCAGCUCUGUCAAAGCCCUGCAGUGCUGGGAGUGUUUCACCCAGAGCCAAGGGGGAGAGAAUCAUGUUCCUUUGAGAGCAACACCACCGCAAGCUCACAUCAGAAGCGUGCUUGGCUCUAGGUAAAGAGUACAGCAGCACAGGGUAAACUACUUUCACCCUCCCCACAGAGCCCCUGGCUCCCAGAUCUGCUCCCUGAACCAGCUGGGGGGUAGAAAAAGGUUAAGAGGCAUAUCCUUUGCUGUAAUUAUAUCCUGUUGCUGGAGAUAUUGUGCUCUGCUUAAAGAAAUCAUCAUAAUGCAGCCUCCCGGAGAAGGUAAUUACUGCGCAUCUUCUGAACGGCUGCAUGUGAAUGUCUGCUCAAGCUGCUGUCAGCAGCAAGUUUCAACACAUCUUACAUACCAGGCAUUUUACAGCCCUAGUUUUAUUUGUUUUCAUCAUCCCUUGCCUUGUGCUUUAGUUUUCAUUAAUGGACCUGGGGCUUUUUUGUUUGUAUUGGUUUUCUUUUCCUCUUUUUAUUUCUCUCUCUCUUUUUUUUUUUUUUUUUUUUUUUUAAGGAGGCCAGAGUUCAUGUCUUUGAUGGAUCAUUUCAGUGGUGGCCACAGCUCUUAUUUGCUGUGUUUCCAUUCCUCUGUGGUGGUUUGAGGGGGACCAUCUGGAAGAUGUUGUUUCUGAGCCAUUCCCAUACGAUAGGAUCUGAGUGGGCCCUGGUUUCCUACACUGAUCCCAGAUAAAAUGGACUAUACCACCUCUGAAAAAACUUGGUGUCUCUCCACCUCUAGCUUAACUGCACAGAUUUAAGCCCGUAAGACAACCUAUUUUUCCUGUUGUACUUUCUGAGCUUCUCUCUCAUGUUGAAAAAGGGUUGCUUAGGGAUGUCAGACCGCUGAGCUUUCUGAAACCCAUCACCUCCCUGCCUUGGUUGGCAACCAGUGCACAUGUCACUGUGUGUGGUGGCUAAAGUUCUGGAGGGUCACAGCCUGGUCAUUCUGUGCAUGGGGAUUGCCAUGUCUUCAGAGCCUCAUCCUUUGGCUUUGCAGGGACAUGUGAGCCAAAGAGAUGGGGCAAUACCAAAGAGCCCUGGUUUGUCACACUAGGAGUGACCCAUCUACUUUUUCUUUCUCAAAGGCACUUGUGCUUGCCUUUCCCCAGCACUGUGUGAUUUGCCUUCAUGUUGUGCAUGUAGGGUCACAAUGUGUGAUCAUGACAUCCUGCACUGCUGUACAGACAUCCUGUCCAUCUCGUGGCCAGCUCAAGGGAGGAUUUGAAACUACUCCUUGAAUUCCCUCUUUGUGAAAAUGGCUGAGGCUUACUUUUUCAAUGCUGAAGCUGAAUUAUCUUAGUACCCUCACUGAUUUAUUGUUUGUGGCCAGUCUUUUGUGCAUGCUGAGCAUCUGCUACGUUGCAUCGAGAGGUGGUUCCAUCCUCUGUGAUUCUUGGUGAAGCCUGAAAGGCAGUCUGGCUCCUGGAGGAUGGAAGGUGCUGUAAUAAAUGUGAGCUCAUAAUGUUGUUGUUAAAAAUAACAGGAGCUAAAUUAUAAAGAAAAAAAAUCAAUCUUAUUCAGUCCUAGCCCAAGGGGGAAAUGGGCAUGAAGGAUUGGGCAAUCCUUCUGUAAGUUCUUUCUUUAGACUAUAUUUAAACCACACUGAGAGCCAGAUUCUCAGCUGGUGUCAAUUGUUAUUGACUUCAGUGGAGUGAAGCUGGUUUACACAAGUUGAGGCUGCUAAAUGCCAGUAUUUGGAUUAAGCUGAGGCAGCUGGAAUCACUUUUGCAGAAACCUCUAGUGUGAUGCUGGUUCAAAAGCUCUGAGCCCUCCUGAGUGCUUGAGCCAUCAGUGCUUUUGGGAUGUGAAUGGCUAUGAAAAGACCUUCACUUGGGUCAAAAUUUUAUCUUAGCUAGGUUCUGCAACUCUGAUGUCUGUCAUUUUUCUGUAGUCAUUGCUUUAGAUGGGCUUCUCUGAAAAACUCUGCAAAAACCUUUUUUGUUUGCUACUUCACUGGCAUCAUCUCCUGUCUAGACACUCUAAUUAUGAGAACCAGGGAGCAUACAGUGUGAUGUGUAGAUAAACCUGGAUAACUCCAAGGCAACCGUGUGCUGCUUCCAUCCCUCCCUGACUGCUCUCCAAACUAGUUUUGCCCAUUUGUUGUCUGUUCCAAUAUGAACAUUAGCAAAGCGGAGGCUGUACAGUGUCACCUGGGCAAUGUUUAUUUGAAUUUUGCAUUCAGAAGCAAAUGUUCCGAGCCAUAGAAACAGAGAGGCAAACCUCAGAUUGGAGUGGGAUCUAGCAAUAGUGGGUUAGCCUUCCCUACUUUUGUUUUUCAGUAUGCCCAAAAACUCUCUUGAUUAAAUAAACAACCUCCCCUACCACCCUGUCAGCAGAAUGCAUUAAAUCCAUAAGCUGAUUUGAGUAAUUUUUGUGUACUUAUAUCCACUCUAAUUCUCUUCUUAUCUAUGGACUUGUUUUUUAUUUAUGCCAGCACAGACUGUAUCCAAUCUCAAGCUCUAUCUAUUUCAGCAAUUUUUUUUUUUUUGUAAGAGCAUUCAAAGCUGCUGGUUUAAAAGGAGACCAUCAAAUAAUCAAUACAUAUAGAACAUUGGAAUGCAUUUUAUUGUUUCAGUUGCUGUCCACAGUAUGUCACCUCCAGAAGUGUGUAAUGAGAAGAAAAAAACCACUUUUUUUCUAUUGCCCUUUUUUAAUGUGUCAUCUUUCCUGAUUCAUUGCUGUAACUGGUACCAGGGAGAAUUGUCUGUAAUACUUAGCAAGGCCACUGGGAUUCAGACUCUUUCUCAAGUUUCUGCACUUGGAGUGCCACACGGAUUUCCAUGGGUCUCUGCAGGAACUGGGGCUCAUGAGAAUAAUCUGUUUGCUGUGUUUUGACUCCAAAUCAAUGUGCUUUGAAGUGAUAAGGAGGGAUAUUUUGUUUGCUUUUUGUUUUCUUGGUAGCAGCUUUUCAAAAGCACCAUAUUGAUCCAUGGGUGAAGUGCCACCACACAGCUCCUUUCCUCCAAGGGAGGCACUUUUUGCACUCCUGGUAGUGAUAUGGGUGAGUGAAUGCUCUGGGAUGUGCAUUUAGGGUCCAGCUGUUUAAAGUCUGCAUCAAAAAUAAUCUUUUUAUGGGUCCUGGUAAUGGAAACAUGCCACGAGCAUGGAUGACUUGAAAGAAAUUGAUAAUAGAGCAGGUUAAUGGGUCACUUGGAUGAACCUCCCAGCUUUGGGCUCUGAUAGAAGCUGUUGAGUUCGAGCUGCACAGUGCUGCCUCUUUGGGAAAAUUGCACAGGUUUAAUUAGAAUCUGUUUCUAAACAAAUGGAAAAGCUAUCUGAGUACUCUUCUUUCAGUGUAAGCUUGCGGUUUCAUCUGAAUUCACCUAGGGCACAUCAGAGUGUAUCUUUAUAAAGAGCUGAAUUUGGUGGCUGAUCUAUUGAAAGAGUGAAUCUCCAAUCCUGAGCCCCUGAAGUCAAACUCCAGGUGGGAUUUCUAGACUAGUCUGUGUGGGGAUGUCCUCAGCCUGUAUCUAGCCAAAUCUGAGACUCCAGAUGGAGCUGUGACUCUAGGACUUUUCCCAAAGGAGUCGAGGCCAGAUCAGCUCCAGUCCUGUAUGGAAGUGGGAGCCCAUCUUUCCACUCUCCAGCCUUUUCUACUCUCAGGCUGGUGAUUUGUUUUGUGUUGGGUUGUUGACACUUGUUCAUAUCCCAGAAUUCAGUGCAUGCCCAUGAACCCAAGGAGAAAGGAAGCUCCAUAUGAGGGAAACAUACUUCUUUCCCUUCUUUUUUUUCCCCCCCAUCAGUGUAUCACCAUGUUGCUGUGAAUGGGUGCAUGGGCAUUGUGCUGCAAUGGCUUCCUGCACCUGAUCCAGCCCAUAACCAGUUCUCCCAUGCGCCAGGGUGACAGGGCCACAUCAUCCCUUCUCUGUGUUGAUCUUUGGAAUGGAUGAUCUUUUCUACCUUUUGCAUUGCACUGCUACUAAACCCGCAGGAGCAGCGGGAAGCUGGUUGGCAUUAUUCUGUAUGAGAGCUGUAGGAAGAGUAAGUUUGUGCUUCCUGCACUGGUUUGAAGGUAAGGGUGCCAGGCUGGCUAUGCACUGAACGUCCCACUAUGGUUAUUUUACUCCUCUCCUUGCUGGGUGAUGUUUCCACAGAAUGCACUAUAGCAGGCUUUGAACCAAUUUGUUGUUCUUUGUUUAUGAUGAAAUUAAUUCACUUGUUUUAUGUAAAUGAUCCAUGAGAUUGUUUACUUUGGCACAGGGAUCCAUGUGCUUUCUGAGAUGCAAGGAAUUUAGCUACUGGGAGCUUGUUUAGUUUGUUGCAUUUGCAAAACAGAUGGUGGAGGGGAAAAUGUAUGUGUGGGGAGGCUUUAGGACAGGAUUUGGUUAAUAUUUGCUGCCUCUGUAGUUUUCUUUGUUGCUUGCUGGAUGGAGAAGGAUGGGUUUCCGUCACAGGGAGAAGAAAGACAACACAUAAUAACUGAUAUGUAUUUUGCACACAGGGAAAAAGAAAUAUAAUUUGGACUUGAGCUGUCAUUUUGUGGGCAUCUUUGACAAAGUGGAACUCCCAGUUUCUAGGGCUGGUGGAGAUACAGAAGCACCAUGGAGGCCUUGUACAUUGACUUGGCUCUCUUCUCCUGACUCCUUUGGAGUCCCAUGGGCCUCAGCACAGCUCUGAGGCAUCUGUGAUAGCAUUGCUGUGCUGCUGCAGAGCAAAAGGAGGGAAAUCUUCAUGAGAUGUGCGCCCCAGAACUGGCUGGAGUGGGGUGAGGCCAUCCCCAUAACACUGGGGUGUCCUUUCAAUUAAUGCAUUUAGGUACAGCUCUCUGCUGAAGUGAGAAAUGGAUGUUGUCCUCAGUGGAACACUGAAGCAGAGAGUAGAGGAGGCAGGGCCCAUUCAAGGUCCCACAGAGGGUGCCUGAAGGAGAAUGAGGGCGGAUCCCAGCUCUGCUCAGCCAACUAUUUGAGCCUCAUGUCAGGCGGGUUGUUUUGUAAAAGGCCAAAGUUUCUGUUUUCCAAGGGCCAAAUUAGUGCCAAGUUGCAAGGGAUGCCUGGGAGCUCUGCCAUGUCCAUUUGUGGUGGGUUAUGCUUGCUGGGCUGUAGGCCAUUGGGAGAAAUGCCACUUUCCUCUGUACUUCCUAACAGAAAGGUUGUCUGUUCUCGUGGGUUCUGCCACUCCACGUUACAUGUUUGGGGGAGGCUUGGCCAAAAUCUUCUCAAGCCUUCAUGUUCUUGUCUUUGGGUUCGUUACGGGUGGCAAGCAACUCCCUCUUUUCAAGAUCCUCACAGGAAGGAUCUUGGAGCGAUCAGCCCCAAUCAAACUUGGCAUUUGCUCAGGGCAGGAUCAUAUUCCCCUGCAUGCCUCCGUGGAUCUGGCAGGCAAAGAAUCUGUCAUCGUGUCUGAUGACCUUGCCUGCAGUGCCAAGUGCCAAGAAUGCCCCAUGUUUUCUCAGGGUGGGGUGCUGUCCACCACCAAUGCCUGGCAAAGCAUGGUGGUGGGGUGAGCAUGCGCUGGGAUUGCUGGGCAUUUGCUGGUGGGCUUGGUGGGGGUGGAGCCCACAUGCCACCACCUGGUUAUUUUGGGCAAUGGACUGAGCUGCUGAGCUGGAUCUUUCACAGCUUCAUCCAAUCUUCUGGCCCUACAGAAAUAUUUCUCGGACAUUAAUGCUUUGCCUAUCUAGGUGUCGUGUUUCUGAGAGACCUCUAUGCUUCCCAGGAUGAGCCCAAGUGUAUAGGCUUUUACCUUUCUUCAAAUCUCAGAGCUGAAGGGCUGUGGUUAAAGGUGCUUGAGCAUUUUGCAAGCCUCCACUGACAGAAGGAUGGCUGUCUUGCGGGUCAAACAGUUUUCUGUCUGCUUAUUGACCUUGUUUUUACCAAGGCUAAAUGGAUAUUGGUUACAGAUGCUGCUGAGGCAAGUAGGGGCUUUAUUAGCAACCAUUUAACCCUUGUCCCUUUUAGAUAUUUAUGAGCUUCGGAAGUCUCACAUCUCUCUAAUUUCCAUAGGAAGAAGUUGAGGCAUAAUGAGUUGCAGUGGUUUGUCCCAAGCAAGUCUAACUAAAAAAGUGCUUGAAAUUCAAAUUUCUUUUUAAUUAGUCAGAUUCUUGAUCAGAAUGUCCUUCUGUUUCUGGUAGUGGAGCCUGCUGGCAUCUGUGUGAAAAGAGAGGGCAUCCUGGCCAAAUGGGAAUUACCAGGAGCAUGCAGUCUUCCUUCUCCUAGUGUGCCCAAAAUGAACAAAGAAUUGGUUGGAGCAGGAACAAACCGUUGCCAUGGAUGAACCAGCUAUGGAGAAUAACAGAGGUCAAUGAGCAAGAUGACUUCUGCCAUACGUGUGUAGCAUCUGUGCCCCGUUGCAGGGUGUGCCUGCAAGGUGAAAUGUAGCCUCCAGGCAGCACCUCGGAGCCAUGCUCUCCAGGAUAGGCUGGAUUUUGCCUGGCUUUGUGUGUAAGUGUGGUUGCCAACACCUGCACAAAGCAAAGGCAGAACAGACCUGAAGAGCAGCAUCUGGUACCUGUUUGACCAUGGCAGGGUGCAUGGCCAGGUGAAGCUGUGAGCAGCAGCAGCACUGAAGGUGAAAAUGACACUGACAGGAUUUUCUACUGGGCUGCAGCCCUGUGUGUCUUUACUCUUCCCCCAUCCUGUGUUGGAGCCCAAUCUUUCUCAUAAUUGUCCACCUGGAUCAAUUUAUAGAUUAAGUCCUGCAGCCAGCUGUAGGAGGCAUAGAUGUAUGGCACCAUGCAGCAUGUCCAGGAAUGGCCUGGCCUGCUCAGUGGGUCCUGCCUGCAGUCCUAUGCUCUUCCCAAACUCUAUUUGCAAUGCAGGUAAACUGUAAACAGGGGACUAGGUGUAAGAGGAGGGGGGUACACCAGUGUGUCUGCAUUUUCCUGCCUCUUUGCAGGCUUUUCAAUGAAAGACAAAAUAGUUGCAUGCCCCUUGGUAUUAUAGGUUUGCAGUUUCCCUCUUGUAGAUUUUAGAUGUGGAUCACAGCCCUGUGUUGGUAGACACUACACAGACAGCUAAGGAGGAGACCAUCCCUGUCAAGUUUUGGGACUAGAUACCAUAUAAAAGGCCAAAACAGGAUAGCUCGUGGGUGGAAUAGAGCUGGAAGGAGAAAGUGACAGUGCAGGGGAAGGAUGUAGUGGAAAAUCAGGAAUUGCACCUUGCAACUAGUCUAACCAGGACCCUAGGGGAGAAGGUUUCCAGGUGUUGUGGAAGCAGCUUUGCACACUUUUAUGGGGUGGUGUUUGGCAAAGAGCUAAUUCUCAAAAUUUGUUGCAUGACCACUCACUUAACCACUGAUUAGUGAGUGAUGCAGGACACUACCACUGCUGUUCAUGGGAAGAGACAGUUAGAAAGGGAGUAAAAGGUAGUCUAUAGGAAAGGAGAUAAUUUCAGGAAUCCCUGGAAAGUCCUUGCCUUGGCUGGCCAUUUCAGACCUUGUGCACUCUCUGGCCUGUCCUUUUGGCUGCAGUGCCUGUUGUGGUGCCACUGUAAAACCACUGGUGUGUGCACUUUGGGGACUCUUGUGGUCGGACAGGACAGGGCAAGACGUUUAUUGGGAAGGGUAGGGGUGAGGAGGACAAACGCACCAGGGAGGUAUGGUAGGUUGGUAAGAGAAAGGCUGUGGGUCCUGCAUAGAUUUAAGUUGAAAACUACUUUGUAAUCUGGUUGUGCAAGAGUGUCUGGGGCAGAGGGGAUGUGUGUGAUGGACAGGAAGGAGGGGUGCCUGCGUGUGUGCAUAAGGAAGUACCUGCAGCAGCUGUUGUAAUUGUUUUAAUAAAGGAACAUUUCCCUGAAUUUCUCUUUUGGCACCUGAGGGCCCUUCCCAGGAUGCCCUUGCUGAAACUGCUGUUUGAUUUCCAGGGCAAAUGCAGUACACACACACAGAGCCCCAUCUUGUUCAUGCAAACCCACAAUCCCAUUAGGACAUGGCUCCUCUUCCUUUUGGUAACAGGGAAGGGGGGGGUGCGGGGGUUGAAAUAAUGACAGAGAUGAUUAUAAUUAAUAUUUUUUUAUGUCUGAAGAGUGAAAGUCCUGCCCAAGUCCCCCAGCUGAGCACAAGCCAAAGUGCUAAAUCCCUGUAGGGGUGUGUUUUAUUACUGACGCUCUGCAUGUUGAGGCUGGUCGCGGGGUCUGAUGCUGUGCAUGUGGAAUUCUUGUGGCUCUUUUCCAUUGUGCCAAUGAAAAGCAGGAUCCCAUCCGUAUAAUAAAAAGGAAACUUGAAGGUUUCCACGCCUACAUGGAGGUGAAUGCUUGCAGCAUUAGUGUUUUAAUUAAGUGUUUUACCUUUGCAUGACUUUUCUGUAUGAUCACAUUGCAAGCCAUGAAGCAGAUAUUACCAGGGUCGGAAUAUGAUGGGAUUCUCAGUGGCCCUUCCACAAAAGGUUUUGGCUGCUCCUCUGUUAGGCUGGUCUGCACCUGGGUUGCUUUAUAGUCUCGUAAUUCUUCAUUGGGCAGUGUGUGCUGGGUUUGAUUCAUCCCUGACCGUUCCUCUUUCAGGAGCAGGGCUCUGCCAGGAUCAUGGGGACUGGGAGGCACUGAUUGCUUCCUGAUCCUCCCUUGACCAGCUGGGUGAUCUCAAACAGGUAGCUUGCUCCUUAGGACUCCUUUUGUCUGUGUGCCUGAUGUCACACACAGAUGGAAGGCUGAGCUGGGUAUGGAAGUUGUUCUUAGCCAGGCUGUCUACACAGUGUAGUAGUGAGGCAGCUGCUCUUCCCAAAUCAGUACAAAGCCGCAUCCUGCAAGAGCUGAUCGCUUCAGUGGGCUGAAAGAAACCCUCAGCACAGGUUGGACAAUGGACAGGAGAAUGUGGCUCCCUAUGUGACACCUGAGAGGUGCCUUUAACUGGGAGUAGUAGCAGUACUGGCAGCAACCCUGCAAGCUUUCAAAGAUCAUCUGAGCCUUUUGGAUGUGAACAUGUGGAGAGCUCCAGGAGCAUUGGUGACCUGAACUGAGUUGUACCUGUGCAGCUCUUGGUCGCUUAAAGCAAAUUUCAACCAUCAGAGUACAUGUGUUGCUCCCCUGAGAGAGAGGCUGUCUGGACCCAGUCCCCAGGAGCUCCCAGCCAUCCCUUUUCUCUGUCCUCCCCAUAAAGGAGGGGUGUGUUGUCUCUGCUAUAGCUGUGUUUCUCUUGCUACCACAGCAGGUGAAAGCCUGUGGGGACACAGGCCCACAGGUGGCAGCUCACAGCUUCUGCACCCAGCUUCAGCCUUGUCUCAGGUAAGGAGGAGGAUGUUUCCUUAUGAAGUGACUCAGUGUUUUUCCCUUUCUAUCAGCAGAAACUCCACCAGGAAUAGGCUGAGCCAUGCCAGCCUUGGUGGCUGCUCCUGCUGCUCCAGGAUGGGUGUCUCUCCAUCUCCCAUACAGCUGGCCCAUCUACUGCUGUUGCUCAACCUCCUCCUUUCUGCCCUUUUGGAAAUGAUGUGGACAAAACCAGCCUGUAAGUCUGUUCAGAUUGUGAGCUUCAGUGCCUGACCCUGGAUCUCCAGUCUGUACUUGCAAUACCUGCAACUCCGACGUGAUCUGCCAUCCAGGGGUGAGAUGCUUUGGGCUUUGAACUUCACACCCCAAAAAUACAGUCAGGACUGUUUGACAGAGCCAAGAACACUGAUGUGAAGCUGUAUCCUGCAAGUGCUGAGACCAUUGGUGAACUGUAGGAGGCCUUCAGCAACCACCAGCCUUACUCCAGAAGGAAAGGGUAGAAUUUCUUGGAUGAGCAAGCUGGGAGAAGGUUUCCAGAAAAACAGAUGAAUUGACUCUGUGUGUUCUCCGGGAUAAUGUGUAUCAGAAACCCUAUAUUCUCCCUCAAAAGAUGCCCUGCAUGGAUUAGAACAGAGAUCAAACAAAGGCUCCUUAAUGCUGCUUGGAGGCUGAUCUCUGGCCUCAUCCCUCUGUUCCAGUGCCACAGUUGGUGGGCAGUGCUGGGGACCACUUACUCUCCCUUCUAGUGCUCCAGCUGGAUCACUGGCACCAGGUCUUUAAGGUCUUCUGCUUCUUCUGGGGUUGAGAAAGGAACAUCCAGCUAUCAAGUCAGUGCUCCAUCUUGAAUUUUUAUAUAUCCCUCUUCAUCUUAUAAUGAACUGUACACCUGGAAGUGUGCCUCAGUGUGGUCAGUGCAACCAGCUGGGCACAGUGCUGAGCAAAGAUUGUAUCUCCUCUCUCUAGGAAGUCAGAGCUACCAUCAGUUACACACAAAGUCCCCAAAUAUCUUGGUAUCUCCUUUGCCCAAGCAUGAGACCAUGAUAUCACCUACUAUGCUGGGGGUAAGUUGGGUCCCUCAGCAAAGAAAAGCCUACUUCACCAGGCUUCAAAAAAGAGGGGAGAUUUUAAGUGGCUUUUAACUGUGUGGCUGGGGGCCUGCUAGCUGCUCUCCAGUUCUGGGCUGCUUCCAGAUCCUGGUGACAGGCACGGCAUUCAGCAGGAGCUCUAACAGCCAGUCCAUCAGAGCAGCAGUAUAUAAAUCAGAGGAUGGAGGCAAGAAACCAUUGGGGUCAGAAGCUGGCUUUAGGAGUAUGUUUUCACCCAUCUGAAAUCUGUCCACUGUCUGAGAUGUUAAGCCAUUUUCUGAGCUUCUCAUCAUUGUGUUGUGCUGUUUCUUUCCGUCCAGUUUGUAUAAAGAACAAGCCUUUGGGGUAGAACUUUUCUGCCUUUGACACUCCCAAUCCAUUCUUGCAAGUUUAUGUUUGUUGCUGUUGUUGAGUAACCUGUAAUAAAUAAUGUUUUGGUCAAGACUCUUAAAAUGGAUACGUGAA